UACGGAGGGCGCAAGCGUUAUCCGGAUUCACUGGGUUUAAAGGGUGCGUAGGCGGCCUAUUAAGUCAGUGGUGAAAUCCUGCAGCUUAACUGUAGAACAGCCAUUGAUACUGAUGGGCUUGAGUUCAGACGAGGUAGGCGGAAUUUAUGGUGUAGCGGUGAAAUGCAUAGAUACCAUAAAGAACACCGAUUGCGAAGGCAGCUUACUAGACUGACACUGACGCUGAGGCACGAAAGCGUGGGGAUCAAACAGG
rnacentral:rRNA from 1 species